rnacentral:rRNA from 1 species
UGCAGUCGAACGGAAACGAAACUAGCUUGCUAGUAGGCGUCGAGUGGCGGACGGGUGAGUAACGCGUAGGAAUCUGCCUGAUAGUGGGGGAUAGCCCGAAGAAAUUCGGAUUAAUACCGCAUAAUCUAUUCGUAGUAAAGUGGGGGACUUUCGAGCCUCACGCUAUCAGAUGAGCCUGCGUAAGAUUAGCUUGUUGGUAGGGUAAAAGCCUACCAAGGCAACGAUCUUUAGCUGGUCUGAGAGGAUGAUCAGCCACAUCGGGACUGAGACACGGCCCGAACUCCUACGGGAGGCAGCAGUGGGGAAUAUUGGACAAUGGGGGCAACCCUGAUCCAGCAAUACCGCGUGUGUGAAGAAGGCCCGAGGGUUGUAAAGCACUUUUCAAUUGUGAAGAAAAGUUAGCGGUUAAUAACCGUUGACCUUGACGUUAACUAUAGAAGAAGCACCGGCUAACUCCGUGCCAGCAGCCGCGGUAAUACGGAGGGUGCAAGCGUUAAUCGGAAUUACUGGGCGUAAAGCGUGCGUAGGGCGGUUUAUUAAGUCAGAUGUGAAAGCCCCGGGCUUAACCUGGGAACUGCAUUUGAAACUGGUCAACUAGAGUAUGGUAGAGGAAAGUGGAAUUUCUGGUGUAGCGGUGAAAUGCGUAGAUAUCAGAAGGAACAUCAAUGGCGAAGGCAGCUUUCUGGACCGAUACUGACGCUGAGGUACGAAAGCGUGGGUAGCAAACAGGAUUAGAUACCCUGGUAGUCCACGCCGUAAACGAUGAUAACUAGCCGUUGGGGGGAUUUACCCCUUAGUGGCGAAGCUAACGCGUUAA